CCUUCCAUCGCGUGGCCGGCCGCCAGACUCCUCCCCGCCCCUCUCCCUCGCGGCCGCCGGCUGCGGCCGCCGUUGCGCCGCCUGCAACUCCCCGUUGUCGAUCUCCGUCGGCGUGGUCGUGCGCCUCCUCUAGCCCUUUCACGGCCGCGCCCUCACCAUUCCCAGUCGAGCUCCGCCGCCUCCUCCACCCCAGUCUCCAUACAACGCACAAAAAGUGGCGGCCCGAGCUGGGAAUUCACCAGGCACGUCCUUUCCCCCCUUCGCAUCUCACUGUUGCCUCCAUUGUUGAGUUUCAACAUGGAUCUGAGGACACGAUGUUAGUGUGGAGAGAAGUCCUAUGAAGGGAUUUGUUGGAGGGACUCAACCAUGAACUGAAGGAUGAUUUUGAAGGACACUCCUAUUUGAUGAAUUACAGGUGAGAGGGAUGAGUUCAAUGCCCACUCCUAUUUGAUAAAACACAGCUGAUGGAUGGAAGCACACGGAGGCUGCAGGCUAUUGCAAUGCCACAUGACAUCAACUUGAGUUCAUUGCCAAGGAUUGGGGGCAGUGGCCAUGCAUGCGGCCUUCCCGUUGCGGUCCCUAGGACGAGGUCGCCUAAGGCGACUCCUAGUGCAGAGCACGUACGCUGCAAGUGGUGGCGAUGAUUUUGCAGAGCUUUGGCUCAAGCCAUCGCAUCUCUGUUUGGCCGUGUCCUUUCUUCAAGAAGUUAGCAGUGCGGAGCAUGCUGCAAGUGGUGGCUGCGAUUUUGCACAUCUUUUGCUCAAGGCAUGACAUAUGUGUAAUUCAGUAUUUGGUGCAUUGACAUGCCAAGUAUUUAGAAAAAAAACUGCGGUUGCAAGAAUUCUAAUGUGGAUUAUUGUACAAAAAUUAAAAAUUACCAUCGUUUACAAGCAGCACUAAAAAAAUGCACAAAUUUAUAUUUGUUCUUUUUUUUAUACAUUGAAUACCAGUCUGACUGUGUUUGCAGCUUAAUUACUGGUUAUCCUUCAUUGAAGUUUUUUGAGCCAUUGAAAAUAGAAAAAAUUACUUAAGAUUAGUCCGUUAUACCUUCAUCUGACCAGUUAUUGCCCUGAUAUGUUUCAACUCAAUCACUUUAUUCCCAAGUGUAUCGUGGAUUGCGGGGAUGACCUUCGGAUAUGGUUAUGGGCGGGGAUGGCCUUUGGACAUGGUUAUGGCUUUCUAAUAAUUACAACAGCAAUGAGCGGAUGCAUGUAAUUGCCUUUUUUAUGGCUUUAUAAUAGUUACAACAACAAUGGGCUUCAGAGAUGGCUGGAAAAAUGGCCCAGGAAAUCGGCUUUUGUUAGACUUGCUGGUGAAGGAGAUUGGUCCCAUCAAUUGAAGCUGAAGAGUUAGCGGAUUGUUUGGACUGAAUUCUGAAUAUGCUGCAUUUGUGCCAUUUGAGAGAAAGAGCAUAUUAUUAUCAUCUUGAAAUAGUAGUAGAGUGUUCCCAGUGUUGCCCCUGGACAAAAAUGUACCUGAGGAGCCGGUCAUUUCAGUACAGACUACAGAGAGACGACGGCUUGAGAUAUAGUCUCAGCAUUAUCAUUGGCCGCAAGAAUUUGCUCCCUGGAAGCGAAAAUGUCAACACGGGUGGUGUGGUCCAUAUCCAUACCGUGCCUCGUGUACAUUCAUGUGCACAAAGGAUUCAUGGGCAUAUCGGUCACAUUGACGAUUUACAUGAUCCUGGGGACCAUAGCUAGCACCUGGAGGUAUGAAUGAUGACAUAAGGUUCUGCUCUAUUCAGUAAAAUUGAUGCAUCAGCUUGUCAUCUUAGGUAUACCUGAUCCGUCUCUUUACUUAUGUAUGUAUGCCUCCAAUCGACCGCUUUUAUUUUGGGUGUUUUCAGCUGACUAAUGUGUAGGUCUUGGUCAUGACCUAGCCAUGUGGCAAAUACUCUGUAACCAGCUUAUUUUGCUCUUACUAUUUUGCUUUUAUUGUGUUGUCUAAGUUAGAACCUUAUUGGCUAAUAAGCAAAGUUAUUAUGUGCUUAUUUUUUUUCUAUGCUUAUUAUGUGCUUAUUUUGGAUAUGGAAUAAGCAAAGUUAUUAUGCUAGCUGCUGUGGUGCUGAUAUUCUAGAUGGCUAUUGUUACAUUGGUGCAAUUGGCUUGAUAGACUGGAUUAUGUUGCUAGGCUCUUGCUUUGGGAUUUAAUUCUAUCCGUUAUGUACAAUGUUUGCUCUCUUAUUUUUCAUACAUGCCUCGGUGUUACUCUAAUGUUUGGCAUUGUUUUUUUCUGGUAUGAGUUAUUUUGUUCUGUUUAGGUAUUACUUUUUGGAAAUAGUAGCUCUACAUGUAUCUGGGAUAUGGAGUAAGCUUCGUGGUGCUUUGUUUCAGGCUAUCAUCUGCAACAAGUGUUGGAGCACAAGCCAAGCGAGAUCUCUUCUGUAGCAAUUUCCAUUCUCAAACAGGUGUCCUCUGCACCUGUCCUCGUUUCGGAUCCACGAGGACACGUGUACGCUCGAUCCCAGGUGCGUCUUUCCCUCUGUUCACACUUUAUGCUUCCCGGUGUCUGUUGAUAGUGUCCUUAGGUACAACUAGGUCUCCAAUCCUUCAUGAAAGAGAAAGCUUUUUUACAAAAUGGGUAGAAAUUUCAAAUAUCUCCAGACGCGAAACAGUAAGCAGAUCCUUUAACAUGUCUAGGCAUGGGGUAAGUUAUAAGCUACUAUCCCAUUGUGUGAAAAAUCAGGUGUGCUGAGCUGCAGAGUUAGUUGUUGGUUCUUUGCAGUUUUUUUCUAGAGUUAUUGUACAAGCGGGAGAAUAUACGUGAUGAAAAAAUAGCUCAAACAACAACCACUUUACUAAUGUUAUUUCAGUAUAAAGAAAUUUCAUAUUUACCAGUUGCUUCUUCCCACCUGAUCAUGUCUUUUAAAGAAACAUGAGAAAUCAGUUCAAAUUGAUUGAGUUAUAUCUACAGCCAUAGUACCACUUUGCACUCUCCAUCACUAAAUCCACGAAGUGCAUACCUUUGCCAGAUUAUACACAAUGGCCACUUACUCCCGCUGUGGUGCGUGCACAUGUGCAUGCCGCACCGCAUGGUGUUGGUGUGGCUUUGACAGGCGUAUGUGACCAUUUGGGCAAUGGUAGUUAUUUUCCUGUAUUCUCCUUAAAUUCAAUGGUUUUUUUUCGAAAUGGGGGCAAACCCCGGCCUCUGCAUCGGUUGAUGCACACAUCCUUUUAUUAAAAACUGAAUAUUCAAAGUUUACAAUUCGUGCAUCAACGAGGCUCAUUAGUUUAAAGUCGUAUGGGAGGUGUCAAGCAUUAUUUUAGUUUUAUCUUUGCUUACAUAUAUGCUAACAUAUGAGAUAUAUAUGGAGUUUUAGCUAAACUGAGAUUUCUGUUAUAAUUACUUUGCAAUUUAUGCAGUUUAGUCAUUAGUAUACUUCCCUCAUUAGAUUGGAUAUAAUGUGGAGGGUAUUUUUUUGCUAUGCACUUUUGGUGCUCUGAUAUCUACAAAUUCUGGUUACAAAAAUAACCCUCAUUAGUUCGAAUAUAAUGUGGAGGGUAUUCUUUUUUGCUGUGCACUUGUGGUGCUCUGAUAUCUAUAGAUUCAGCUUACAAUGACAAGUUGGUCGACCAUUCCAGUAAGGUCAAAGCAACAAGUUUAAGGAAACAUUGUGGUAAUGUCCUUCUUUCAUUUCAUGUCGUCUAUUUUGUAUAAUUCAUUUAUUCAUAGAAUUUGGGUGUUUAAUGAUGGGUCUUAAAAAAUAUUGGAGGCAGGAUAGGAAAGUAUAACAAUAGUCACGUGUCCAGGUAAGGAUGAGUGAGUUUGGAGUAAGAAAAAAAUUUCUGAAAAUGAAAUGUUGUUGCGAGGAGUAUACCCUCACUGUUUUGAUUCUUCUUUUAUGUCUGCGGCCUUUUUUCAUCUAUUUUGCUCGGUCCCCACUAUUUCAUGCUGCAUUUGCUCUUGUGAGUGUACAUGAGCUUAGUUUGCUCUUGCAUGUAUGGAUGUAUUAAUUGGCUUGGUUCUGCAUACAGUAACUUAUUUGCCCUUUACGGUUGUUCUUAUGUAUGUCAAAGCAUAAUAUUGAUGACACCUCUUCACCUUUCAUAGUAAAGGAAAAUCCGUUAGUCCGGUAAUUUCUUAGUUAACAUAAUUGCAGAUUGUAGAUUACCUUUAGUUGGUUGAAUUUUCUAAUUUGUAGUUAUAUGCAUCCUAUGCUCAUCCAGUGGCAUAUAUGACUACUUUUGACGGAGUCCUUGAAUAAAGAUGAAGUGGUGGCCAACACUGUCUGCUGCAAGGGUUGUGACCUAUGUAUAAAUUUUAUGUAUUUAUUAUGACUUGCCAGCCUACAUGCAAAUGCACCCUUACAUGACCAGUGGUUAUGUCAUAUAUACAACCGCAUGUAAACACAUCUUUACAAGGUUCGUUGGUCACUUUAAGCUAAUAUACAUGUAUUUCAAUUGAAUCUAUCUAAAAUACAAAAACUCAAGUGUAUCACAUGAUGCUUAAGUGCUUAACCCAUACAUGACAAUGAUUUCAGUUUUAUCGGUUGAUCACUUUUUUGCUUUAUUUUUUAGACACUUUUUUACUUUCUGCUGCACUUUUAACAGCAGUACAUCCUGCUGCACAAUAGAAGGUAACGAGUAGACCACCUCCGCUCAUAGCGUGCAAGGGUGUUGUGAUGAGGUUAGUCGCUGUCUAACUUCAUUGUUUUUAGGUGCGGAUCGCAAAUGGAAGAAUCACAACACACAUAAAAACUAAGGGCACUAUCAUCUUUUUGGGUACAAGCUUUUGCGUGAUUUUUUCACAUUUGAUCUUCUGUCUCUUUUAUUCAUUUUCCCAAUAUAAGAUUGAUUAUUGAGAUAUUGCUGCAUGAUCAUGUGCUAAAAAAAUGUUCUUGAGGGGCUCUCUUGUGCAUUAUAUGAUUGUGCCUCACUCUCCUUGUGUGCUCAAUGAAGAUGAACAUACCCUUAUUUCCUGCAGUGGAUUGGGAAGGGAGUGAGACCGGUUCUUGCUCGGUAAAAGGCCAGAGAAACGGUGUUACAUUUGCUCCCAGUGUAGAGAUCUUUCUAUGGAGAUGCAUGGGAAUUCCAAUGCCCGAGGUUAUCCAAUUGGUGAUGUCAGUGGUGUUAGCAUCUGGCGGUGCAGCUACAUAUUAGAUUUAUGUUUUCUAUGCGUUGUGGCCUCUGAAGAUCGAACUGCAACGAGCUUAGAUGUUAUAACUUUUGUACCUUCUAUUGCUCUCAAAAGGAAACACAAAAUGUUAGUUAUUGUAGUAUAUUUAGCUGUUUCCUUGAUUGUGUAUAAGCAUUGUUGAUCUUUUCCCAAUUUGUGUGUUUAGUUAUAAUUGCACUAUUAAUUUUGUUUUCUAAA